rnacentral:siRNA from 1 species
GUGCCCCAUAUAGAAUUUGGGUC